AUGCUUCCGGACACCUGCUCAGUCCUGGGGCUCCUGUUAAUUCUCAGAAAGGUCACUGGAGACUCAGUGACCCAGACAGAAGGCCUGGUUACUGUCACAGAGGGAUUGCCUGUGAAGUUGAACUGCACCUUUCAGACCACUGUUCCCACUCCUGUUCUUUUCUGGUAUGUGCAAUAUGUCAAAGCCCCUCAUCUACUCCUGAGGAGCAUCACAGACAACAAGAGGACAGAGCACCAAGGGUUCCACGCCACUCUCCAUAAGAGCAGCAGCUCCUUCCACCUGCAGAAGUCCUCAGUGCAGCUGUCGGACUCUGCGCUGUACUAUUGUGCUGUGAGUGACACAGUGAGGGAGACUGCAGAGGAAGCUGCACACAAACCAAGGGGGCAGGAGGGCUGA